rnacentral:lncRNA from 10 species
GGGAAACUUUCAGCUCUCACACAUACCUAUCAAGCAUUUAUUGAGCUCCUGUGAACACAGACACUCCUGCUCUCUCCAGGAAGCGCUCCCGGCUCAGGGCGCCUUGGGUCCGUGGCGCCACCUGCUGUUCUCGCGGCGCCAGCGCAGUCUGCGAGGCCGUCCCAGCUCUUUCCACCCGAGCGCGAGGUAGACGCCGGGGCCACCCGCAGCACGCAGAGCUUCUGGGAGCCGGUGGCAAGGCCGAAUUGGGAUGCAAACCAAAUGGACGUGGGUGACUGGCAGAAAACGCCUCCCACAAAUGGGAGGGAUUUCGGAGGGAACCGAAAGAAAGUUGGAAACCAAGUUACAGCUGAAGCCAGGGCCUUCUCCUACCCGACUCCCGCGGCCCAUUAAAACCUACGUGAGCUUAUCUGAUACCUUCAAGCCCUGUUUUGUGGCCCCAUCUCCUCUUCAGAUGGCAAUGUGCCUAGCUACACUACAUUUCCUGCCUCCCUUGCAGCUAGAGGUGGCCAAUGAGAUAUAAACAGAUGCUGUAAGACAUGAUGUCUAGAUCCCUAGCAGUCAUCCCAGACCAUGAGAUAACUUUGAGAAGGAACACCAUGUACAAAGGACUGUGCAGAAGAGGGUUGGCAGGAGCCUGGAUCUCUGAUGACUUCACCCUUGACUGCCCACCUCACCAGGCUGUACAAGCCACUGUUACUGGCAGAUGAAUGCAAGUUCUAAAACAUACAACUACUGACCUACUGAAUUUUCCAAGGAGCACAUUUCCACUGGAGACAUUUGGUGCCUGCAGAAAAUACUUACUGAGGAAUUUCUAUGGGACCAGCCUGAAGUAGAAGCCACUGAAGAGAGGCCCUGAAGCAGCUUUUCUUCCUUAUCCCAGAGACCAACAUGGUUACCCCAGCCCAGAGUCACCCUCCUUCCUCUAAGCUGUCAAAACCCUGGCUGCCUUUACAAUGAUUCUGACAAUGAAUCCCACCCUGCUGGUGAUGUCUAUUGCUUUACUGUUAAACUUUUUAAGGGUUAAAAUUCCUUUUUAUUUUUCUUUUUAAAUUGAUUAAUAAUAGUUGUACCAAUUUGGAUGGUACCUGUAAUAUUUUGAUACCUACAUACAAUGUGUGAUGAACAAAUCAGAGUAAUUGGGCUAGCCAUCACCUCACACAUUUAUCUAGGGCUGAAAUCCCUGAAGGACAGGAUUGUGUCUUACAAAUUGUGUAUUCUAAUCUGCAUUUACAUUUCAGAAAUUCUGGACUAAGUAGGCAAACCAACAGAAACUCUUGCUAUGAAGAUCUGGAGGUUUCCUGGAGGAAGUGGUGAAUAGGGCCUUGGGACUGAUGUUAAAAGCCCUGGAACACAAUAGGGAGACUCCUGAACUAGGAAGAAGUCAAAAGCUCUGGUAGCAGCCCCCACAAAUUAAGAAACCUACUCAGAGUAAAAGAAACAGGCCAUGGUGGGUGGCCGGGGAGCAAGGAAUAUUUGUGAGUAACCCCAGAUGGUGGCAAUCAUUUAAUGCCCUCCAUCCCUCUCAGUGUAUAUUAGGUUAUGUUUUUUUUUUAGAAAAUGGAGGAAGGGUUUUACUAUGUUGCCUAGGCCAGUCUCAAACUCCUAGGCUCAAGCGAUUCACCUGCAUUGGCCUCCUAAAUUGCUGGGAUUACAGGCAUGAGCCACUGUGCCUGGCCCAAGAAGUCUGAGCCAGACGUUGCUGCAUAGGUCAGAACUCUGUGGGCUAUGAAUGUAAGAUAUUCACGAGUCACAUCUAUUCCAUUCAUUGGCAAACACUUACCUGAAACCAUACAGCAAAAGAGAUUCUGGAAAAUGUACCUUCCAGCCUUAGAAGAAAGUGAUGGUGGUGCCCAGUUGACCCCAGGCAAGCCGGCCCAGGAAUGCAGACAUUUUGGACUGCUCAUCUUUUACUACUUUGUGUAGCCUUUCACAGAAGAAUUACACAAGAACUUGACUCUUGAUUCCAAGGAUUCUGGAAGAAUGCCAACCAAACUGAAGUCUACAAGCCUAACCAUGUUAUGAAAAGGCUGGAUGUGACAUGGUGAAUCCUCCUUAGAUGUGUUAACUAGGGUUAGGGUACCAGUGACAUGCAAGGGGUUGGCCAUUUGAUUAAGUAGAGGAGGCAUGAGUGAAAGCAGCACACCUCCACCCUGCUCAAUGGCCAUCAUCACCUAGCCAGGCUGUGAGCCUCCAUGGAGUGGGUAGCUGAGAACCCACAACCCACAAUAUAUCUUCUUUCUGGCCCUGUUAACAUGGACCUGUCUCUAUGAGGUGAUGGUUGAUAUCCAGCUAAGUAUGGCCCUCUUAAUAGUAAUGUGGGUGGCUUUAUUCAUAUUGGCUUCAUGAUAAAUGGUAUCACUGAGCUGACUUCUCUAUGUUUUAGAUAAAACAAAAAUAAAAGACAAAAAAAAAAAAAAGAAAAAAAGCAAAAUGACACAGGCAGUCUUGCUGCCAGACACAUCUGCAAUCAGAAAGCUUGGAAAAUUAGACUUGGAAAUGGCUUGAAAAAACCUUUAAACUUUUUCUGAAGAGCAAGUACAGGUUUGUCUCUGGGGUCAGUUCUAAUUCUUUGACCAGCUAAUUUUAAGUGGCUGUAUCUCGAAAAAAGUGACAGUGACAUUUUGGUACUCCAGCUGAACUUUUAGAUUAGUCACUGAUACAACUGCAACUUUUGGCCUAUUUGAAGGAUUUUAAGGGCAGGAUAAAUAACAAAACCCAACAGUCUUAGCCUGAGUUUCCCAGAAAUCAGAGCCUGAGACAAAGGCUUGCCUUUUAAGAUUAUCUGAGAAUGUGAUCUUAGGUAGCAAGAGUACAGGGUAGGGGAGUGAUCAGGGAAGGAGGGAAAGCUAAUGCAACAUGGAUUAUUACGUUGUCUACUACUAUGGACAAUUGUUCAUGUGGACUAUGCUGUGGACUACCAUAUGGACUACCACUAUCACUAUGGAUACAAGUCCUGCUUGGAAUUUUUGGGGAGAUUUAUGGAAAGUACUAGAGAACUGUUUGUCCAAAGGACCAAAGAUGGAAACAUUUAUCCAUUGGCUCCAGGUCCCCAUUGGUCAAGGAUGACUUGGUUGCAUUUCUAAGUAAUGUAUGCUGAGCACAGAGCAGAUUCAAGUGGUUGCCCUGAGCUGCAGAUACCUCUGGGCAGGAAAUGAGAGAUACUCAGUGCAGACCUAGAGUGAGACCCGUGAUCUGAUUGCACCAGCAUAGAGAUGGUCAAAACCUAGGUGGAAGCAGUUUCUUCAGUUGUAACUGGAGAUAGAGGUGGGAUUGAGAGGAUUUUAAAAAGGGGCCCAGGAGUUAUCUAAAGCACCAAACAGUAAGUAUACAUUAACUAUGUUCUGGGUGUUGGGCACAAGCAUGGGAGGUAGAGCAGUGACAUGAUAAAGCCUUUACUCUUCCCCAAAUAUCUAUACUUUCUCUAAUAUAAAAAAUCUUAAGUAUAUGAAAAAUAUCACAUUUAUUAUAAAAUGUAAACUGCAAUGACAUCUGAGAGAGUUAUAUGUUGAAAUUUAAAUUCACAUUGAGAUAUAAAUGUUAGAUACAGGUAUUUUACCCCAAGUAAGGCUUUACUAGGGGAAGGAGGAAGUGCACAAGAAUUCUGGGAGUCUGAUGUAGUUGUGAAUCAAAAUUUCCAAUCCUUAUAUAUAUUUUUAUUAUCAGCCUUGCUUUGCCUAGUGCCUAUAAUCGUGUGAGAACUUGCCCUGUAGCCCCCCAUGAGUGGCCCUUUUCCCUAGUCAUCCUUCUUUGGCUUUAGCCAUGAGGAGCCUGAUGUGAGGAGAGAACUCAGCAAAUAUUUAAGUAAAUAUUUAUGGAAUGACAUGAAUGAAUACAAAGUUAUAAAUAGAACAUUAUCUUAUUCUACUCCUGGACUAGAUGUACGACCAAACAAACUAGAAUAGAUUUUGCAUAGAUUAAAUUUCACCUUUCUGACCUCCCCAAGCAAGUGCUUCUCUGUUUUUUUCCAGACCACCAUGUAUAUUCAGUAGCUGUAGCCCUUAUUUUCUGUUUUAGUUAUUCAAAGCUUGCUGGAAUAUGAGCUCCUGAAGGGCAGGGGCCAUUUCUUAUUAAUCUUUCUGUUGUCAGUACUGAGCAAAGUCUACGGUGCCUAGAAAUGUUUAAUUAAUGAGAAUCUGAAUCAAGACUAUAACCAUACAACCUCAAUAAUGCAAUUAAAAUGAAGAAUCUGUGGAAUAAAAUGACUGAAAAGCAUACCUUGGGAAUACAUAUCCCAGCUGAGAGACUAUAGGCAAGUCACUGAAUUUCUGUGUCUCAGUUUCUCCAAGUGAAAAAUGAGAGACCAAUCAGGGUUAGAGGAUAUGUGAUGUGCAUACUGUCACUCUGUUUUCUGUGUCUUGGUUGACAUUUCUAAUAAAUCAUGACUUUUCUUCACACUGAUUUCAGAUAUAAGCUUAGUAGUCUCAAUUCACUUCAGUCAGCUUCUUUGAAAUUCAUCAGAAAUAUUUUUAAAAGCAUAAAUCAAAUGAUAUCUUUCCCCUGCUUAAAACCCUCUAAGAACUUCUAAUUCCAUCCUGAUGGCAAACUAGGGUCAUCUAAAAAAUCUCCAGCUAUAUGUCCUUAGAAAUGCUACCCAAACUAUAGCAACAAGUCAAAAUGCAUGGUGGAUCCUUUAGUAAAGAAAGGAAAAUCACCAGGUGCCAGAAAAAGGAAUGAAACUGAAAAACAUAGGGAAAAGCAUAUGAGCUUAUGCUGUGGCUACCCUGGAAGAAGUGUGGAAUGAGUGGUUUGGUGUAUUAUUACACCGGGUAAUUAAGGUUUUGGUCAAAUUAGAGGAUAAGAGAUGCAGUCUUCAGUUUAAAUGAAUCAGGGAGUUGGAACUGAAAACUCUACAUGAGCUAGGAUGCUUGAAGGGCUGACCUAUAGAGAGGGUGCUAGAGAAAAAAAUUACAACUGUUAACAUGAAGAAAAAAGGAAGUGUUUCUUUGCUUUGGCUCUGGGCAAAUAAUGAUAAUAAUAAUUAUUCUUGAAAAAUUUACAACUUUAUUCUGUGCUUUAUGGAAAAUUAGAAUUCAAAUAUGUUCUUUCCCAGUUCUCCAUGAAACCAAAACUGCAGAAUUAAUAUACAAAUUGUUCUUAAGUGAAUGUUACUCCUUGGAUUCCUGGCAAAAAAAACACACAAUUCUUGUGGAGGAACAUUUCCAUUACUCCCAUGCCACAGGAGCUCCACAGAUUAAGCACAACUGAAGAUGAAACCACAACCCAAAAUUACAAAACUCACAAAAAACAAAACAACAUUAGAGAGCCAACAGACACAACAAUAUUAGAUAAUUAAUAUUUCUAAGUACCUGGGACAUAGUAAGUUUUAUAUAACGUUUGACUGAUAAAUAAAUAUUAAAAAAUGAACAUACCAGGAAUGUAGGUUAAUGGAGAAAUUCGUAAUAAACUUUAAAGUAGGAGGAAUUAAAAUGAUUAAAGAUAUAAAAGCAGGAAUAAUUUACAUAAAAAAGACACUAUGAUAAGAUAAUAGGCAGGCUUGAAGAUCCAUAUAGAACUUCUAGAAAAAAAUGUUAUUUGAAAUAAAAAGCUCAAUAAAGAGUGGUUUGAAUAGAGCUGAGAAAAUUGAGUGCAUCACAGAGAGGUUAAGAUAUAGUAAUAUGAAAAAGGUUAAGAGAUGUGAACAAUAGAAUUAGGAAGUGUAAUGGGAAUUUCAGAAGAAGAGAAUAGAUAAUGAGAAAGAGGCAAUAUUCAGGAAUAAUGGUCCAGUUUUUCAGAAUUAAUCAAAGACAGAAUUGAAGAAGUACAUACAGUCAUGAGUAGGAAAACUAUAAUAAAUACACAUUGUAAUGAAAUUAUAGAACUUAAGAACAAAAAAUAGUUUGGUAAAUUCCCUCUUUUAAAAGAUAGAGACCUACUGAAUGGAUAAAAACAGAAGGACCUCAUUAUAUGCUGCCUACAAGAAGCUCGUCUCACCUGUAAAGACACAUGUAGAUAAAAGUGAAAGUAUAGAAAAAGAUAUUUUAUACAAGCAGAAUCCAAAAGUGAGGAGGAGUAGCUAUACUUAUAAUAUCAGACAAAACAUGUUCUGUAAAACUUCAUGUUCUGUAUCAGACUUCAUGUUCUGUAAAAAAAUGAAUGACAUUAUAAAAUAAUAAAGAGAUCAAUUUAGCAAGAGAAUAUAACAAUUAGAAAAUAUAUGUACCCAAUACUGGAGCACUCAGGUAAAUAAAGCAAAUAUCAUUAGAUCUAAAGGGAGAGAUAGGCCAUAAUACAUGUAAUAGUUGGGGAUGUCAAUAUGCCUCUAUCAGCAUUGGACAGAGCAUCUAGACUGAAAAUCAACAAAGAAACAUCAGAUUUAAACUGCACCAUAGACCAAAUGGACAUAACAGACAUUAUAGAACGUUUCACACAACAGCUGUAGAAUAUAUAUGUUUUUCAUCAGCAUAUUGAACAUUCUCCAAGAUUGACCAUAUGUUAAGGCAUAAAACAAGUCUCAAAAAAUUUUAAAAAUUAAAAUCAUAUCAAGUAUUUUAUCUAACUACAAUGGAAUGAAACAAGACCAGUAAUAAGAGGAACAUAACAAAACUACACAAAUAAAUGGAAAUUAAACAGCAUACUCUGGGAUGACCAAUGUGAGAAGGAAAAAAUUAAGAAUAAAAUUCAAAAAUUUAUUGAACCAAAUGAAAAUAAAAACACAACAUAGCAAAACCUAUGAGACACAGCAAAAAUAGUAUUAAGAGGAAAGUUUAUAGCAAUAAUGCCUACAUCAAAAAGAUUUUAAAUAAACAACAUAAUGAUGCACCUCAAAGAUCCAGAAAAGCAAGAACAAACCAAACCCGAAAUUAGAAGGAGAAAAGAAAUAAUAAUGAUCAGAGCAGGGCUGGAUUGUGUGGCUCACACCUGUAAUCUCAGCACUUUGGGAGGAAAAGGCAGGAGGAUUGCUUGAGCCCAAGAAUUUGAGACCUGCCUGGGUAACAUAAUAAGACUCCGUAUCUACAGAAAAAAUAAUGAAAACAAUUAGUCAGGGAUGGUGCAACACACCUGUAGUGCCAGCUACUAGGGAGACUUAGGUGGGAGGAUUUCUUGAGCCCAGGAGGUCAAGGCUGUAGUGAGCUAUGAUCACACCACUGCACUCCAGCAUAGGUGACCGAGUGAGACCCUGUCUCAAAAAAAAAAAAAAAAAAAAAAAAAAUUAGAACAGAUAUAAACAAAAUUGAGACAAAAAUUGAAAAUUGAGAAAAGAUCAAUAAAACAAAAAGCUGUUUUUCUGAAAAAAGAAACAAAAUUAACAAACUAUUAGCUAGAUUAAGAAAAAAAGAGGCCGGGCGCAGUGGUUCACGCCAGUAAUCCCAGCAAUUUGGGAGGCCAAGGUGGGCGGAUCACGAGGUCAGGAGAUCGAGAUCAUCCUGGCUAAUGUGGUGAAACCCCGUCUCUACUAAAAAAUACAAAAAACUAGCCAGGUGUCGUGGCAGGUGCCUGUAGUCCCAGCUACUCAGGAGGCUGAGGUAGGAGAAUGGCAUGAACGUGGGAGGUGGAGUUUGCAGUGAGCCGAGAUCACACCACUGCACUUCAGCCUGGGCCACAGGUGAGACUCUGUCUCAAAAAAAAAAAAAAAAAAAAGAAAAGAAAAGAAAAAAAGAGAGAAGACACAAAUAAAUAAAAUCAGAAAUAAAAAGAUGUUACAAUGAAAACCACAGAAAUACAAAGGAUCAUUAGAAACUACUAUGAACAACUGUACACCAAUACAUUAAAACACCUAGAGGAAAUGGAUAUGUUUUUAGAUGCAUGCAACCUACCAAGAUUGAACCAAAAAGGAACAGAAAACUGGAAUAGACUGAUAACAAGUGUCAAUACUGAAUUAGUAACAAAAAGCCUUCCAACAAAGAAAAGUCUAAGACCAGAUGGCUUCUCUGCUGAAAACCGCUAAAUACUUAAAGAAGACUUAAUAUCAACUAUUCUCAAAUUAUUCUGGAAAAUUUAAAGCAGAGACAAUUCUUCCUAAUUCAUCCUAUGAGACCAACAUAACCUUGAUACCAAAAACCAGACCAGGACACAACAACAGCAACAUCAACAAAACUACAAGCCAAUAUCCCUGAUGAACAGAAAUGCAAAAAUUCUCAACAAAGAAUUAGCAAACUGAAUCAAACAACACAUCAAAAAAAAAAAAAAAAACACACAAGAAUCAAGUGGAAUUUAUCCAGGAAUACAAGGAUGGCUCAGUGUACAGAAAUCAAAAACCAUCAUACAUCACAUGAAUAGAAUGAAGAAUAAAAUCCAUGUGAUUAUCUCAAUAGCCACAGAAAAAUUUUUUGAUAAAACUCAAUAUCCCUUCAUGAUAAAAACUCUUAAUAAGUUAGGUAUAGAAGGAAAAUACCUCAACAUAAUAAAGGCCAUAUAUGACAACCCAAAGCUAACAUUUUACUGAAUGAGAACAAGACAAGGAGGCCAACUCU